rnacentral:rRNA from 1 species
UACGAAGGUCCCAAGCGUUAUCCGGAUUUAUUGGGUUUAAAGGGUGCGUAGGCGGGUUAUUAAGUCAGUGGUGAAAGCCUUCAGCUUAACUGAAGAAUUGCCAUUGAUACUGAUGAUCUUGAGUAUGAUUGAGGUUGGCGGAAUGUGUCAUGUAGCGGUGAAAUGCUUAGAUAUGACACAGAACACCGAUUGCGAAGGCAGCUAACUAAGUCAUAACUGACGCUGAUGCACGAAAGCGUGGGGAGCAAACAGGA